UUAAGAUUUCAUGAUGAACACAGUCAAAUGCCUUGGAUAAAUCACAGAAAAUAUAAACGGCAUCCUGACAAUUAUCCCAGGCUUCAAAAAUUUGCUGAAUAAGCUCAACACCAGCAUCUGUUGUUGAGCGACCCCUUGUAAAAUCAAAUUGUUUAGUGCUCAUUAAAUUGUUACCAUAUAAAUGAUUAAGCAAUUGUUGUAGAAUAAGCUUUUCAAAUAUUUUACUUAGCGUCGGUAGAAUAGAUAUUGGUCUAAAAUUUGUGGGGUCAGAAGAACUACCGGCUUUGAAUAAUGGAAUGACUUUACUCUGUUUCAUCAAAUCAGAAACACACCAUUGUCAACACAUAAGUUAAAUAUGACAACCAAGUAUGGAGCAAUACAAUCAGCUAUGGAGUGAAUUAUUUUAACGAAAAAGCCAUCAAGAUCAGCAACCUUUUUCAAUUCUACUGAUUUAAAGGCUUUCAUUACAUCAUUGUAAGUAACAUGAGUGAAUUUGAACUCUAUUUUACAUUCAUUUACAUUAGACAUAAUUAUAGAUUCAGCAAGAGUGGCAGAUGACUUUAGGGCCUUGGUGGUGAAAACUGGAAUAUCAGCAAAAAAUCUUUCAAAAGCAUCCGCAACAUCUUGGAGGCGCGACACCAAAAGCCACAGCAUGGGAGAUUGAAUGUUAACGCACCCUGGACCGUAGACGGGCCACGGGCGCGGGCGGGGCGACGUGUGCGGCGCACGCUUGCUGUCUUCAUGUAAUAAGUUACGGCGGGAUCGGCGCUCACGAGGUUCGCGCAUGGCGCAGAUCAAACAUCUGUCAGAAGUCAAAAACAUAUGUUAAUUUUAUGUCGAUGUUGUAGUGAGGUGACUUUUCGAGAAUCAUACAAUAAUUUGUAUUUUUUGUUUUUUUUUACUGUCACAAUAUUUUGUUUAUUUUUUUUUAUUUACUUAAAGCGCUGCUUUCUCAUUAUACAAUAUAUUGUGUUACAUAUAAGUACAGCUACGUACAAUAUUUAAAAUAAAAGUUGUAAAUAAUUAAUUGUAUAAAAUACGAAGAAAGUUGAUCAAAGUGUACCUAUUUGUUAAAUACCAUUUAAUUUUUACUAUAAGUUUAUCAAAAAUAAUUAAGUGUUAAAAUAUUAAUAACAUUAUAAUAUUUAUAUGCCGCACUUCGUAAAGAGAAUAAUAUUAUACAUAUAGUUACCUAUUGCUCGGGUCGCAAGGUGUGCUAGAUUUGCCAAAUGAGACGAUACAGAUUUAUAUUGUUAUAAUUAAUGACCUAUUAAUAAGUUGUAAGCAAGUAUAAUAUAGUAAUUAGACAUAUAGUAAGGCGGGUGCUGUUAUGAGUUGUAUGAGUGUAUUGGUGGCUACACCAAUGACCAUGUACGUUCAAAGUGGGCUGUCCAUAUACAUAUAGUUUUGAUAAAGAUAUAUUUGAUUCAUGUAAAGGAACAUUUUAUGAGCAUUGUCCAAAUGAACAUAUUAUUUACCUAGUUUUCCUAUUUUUUUUUUCGCAUGUAUAGUAGAGAUUAUAUAAUAGUCGUAUAAAUUGGUCGGCGACGUUGAAACCAGCCUGUAUAAAGUAUUCAGACGAUACAAGUAAAGCUUGUUAGUUAAAGUUAUUGCAGUAGAUAAUAAUCGCAACCAGUCGCCAAUACAACAGGUAGGUGCACUUUCUACAGAUAUGUAAUAAAUAAUUAUAUUUGGCUGUUGUCUCACAUUCAUAUAUUUAAUAUUAUGAUAUUAUUAUUAAUAUGUUUGAAUGUAAGGGGUGAUACAGUGUUUGUUAUCCAGCAGAGUGCAGAAUUGAUUCAGAUAAUAUUAUGUAUUUAGGGUUACCUUUGCUGUUUUGUUUUAUGUCGAACAGUCAAUGUAUAGCUACGGGCACAAAAUAUUGAAGUAACUUUACACGGUUGCCAAAUCUUAACAAAGAGCACCUAUCUAAUUUGAUAUCUAUCAUUAUGCUUAUUACGUUGAACUGGCACAUGUCAUUUUUAUAUCACCACAUUAUGGGUAUGUUCCGCUAUGCACUGCAACUGCAACCCACACACUGUACACAGUGACGUGUAGUCAUGUUAGUCUACUGUGACACCGCGACCGUUACUACUUACAACGGAACGCAAUCCCCUAUACUGUCAGCCGCAUUUUUUGAAGUAGCAUUCAAGUUAGUGUAUUAACUUUUUCUAGUUCAUUAAAAAAAACUGUUGUUGGAGUACUGUCAAAUUAAAAAUAUUAGCCGUAAACGUUAGGCACUCGAGCGGUUUUAACUGACCACGUGAUCAAAGUACUUAAAGUAGGUAAUCAAGAGUACCUUAACUCGAAAACGCCAGUGCUCACAGUAGAAUAUGGUGGCGAUUUAUGACGUCAUAUAUUUCCCUAGGGUACUGCGACAGUCCAUAACUGAACGAAUUUUUCUACAGUGAUAGCACUGCGCAGUGCAUAUCGGAACACACUCUAUGUAAUUAUUUUCCAAAGCUAUAAUUUAUACGAUAAUCGUGUAUGACAUAGGUGUAUGUAUUUAAAUCAGUAUUAAUUUUGUUUGUUAAUUGAAUCGCUUGACAUUUAUUUGCAUUAUCAUAUUACCGUCGUAUUACCGACUUGUUUGCCCAUAUUCAAUUAUAUCCACAAUCAGUUUAUUAAGUUAUUUUUAUUUUACAAUUAUAUCUCAUAUUCAGCUUCCGGGCUGACUGCCGAGGUGUCGGAUCUCGUCAGUUUUAUGUUUAAUGCAAGGACCUGAACUACCUUUAGUUUUUAUAGAUUUAUUUACAGUUUAUAUAAUAAAUGCAUUGUAAAUUC